GACGAACGCUGGCGGCGUGCCUAAUACAUGCAAGUAGAACGCUGAAGAGAGGAGCUUGCUCUUCUUGGAUGAGUUGCGAACGGGUGAGUAACGCGUAGGUAACCUGCCUUGUAGCGGGGGAUAACUAUUGGAAACGAUAGCUAAUACCGCAUAACAAUGGAUGACUCAUGUCAUUUAUUUGAAAGGGGCAAAUGCUCCACUACAAGAUGGACCUGCGUUGUAUUAGCUAGUAGGUGGGGUAACGGCUCACCUAGGCGACGAUACAUAGCCGACCUGAGAGGAUGAUCGGCCACACUGGGACUGAGACACGGCCCAGACUCCUACGGGAGGCAGCAGUAGGGAAUCUUCGGCAAUGGGGGCAACCCUGACCGAGCAACGCCGCGUGAGUGAAGAAGGUUUUCGGAUCGUAAAGCUCUGUUGUAAGUCAAGAACGGGUGUGAGAGUGGAAAGUUCACACUGUGACGGUAGCUUACCAGAAAGGGACGGCUAACUACGUGCCAGCAGCCGCGGUAAUACGUAGGUCCCGAGCGUUGUCCGGAUUUAUUGGGCGUAAAGCGAGCGCAGGCGGUUUGAUAAGUCUGAAGUUAAAGGCUGUGGCUCAACCAUAGUUCGCUUUGGAAACUGUCAAACUUGAGUGCAGAAGGGGAGAGUGGAAUUCCAUGUGUAGCGGUGAAAAUGCUAGAUAUAUGGAGGAACACCGGUGGCGAAAUCGGCUCUCCUGGUUGUAACUGACGCUCGAGGCUCGAAAGCGUCG
rnacentral:rRNA from 1 species